CGUUGCGAGUAUCACACACUCAAAAAAAUAUUCCCAUUGAAGUUACGUGGAAUAUCCCAUACCUAGUAUUUCUCUCCCUUCCACUCUGUUCUACGUGUUCUAUAUGAUUCUUAUAGGAAAAUCUAAUUAAAAGUAAAUGGUUGUCAGGUAUUGAUUAUGUGAUGCGAAGACGGGAACUUUAUGUGAAAGUCCUGUGUGAAAAUAUUAUUAAGUGAACAUGGGAAAGCUUCUCAGUGAUUUGGAUCUGCCAGAGAAUUUGAUAACUAUUUUGAUGAAUGAAUGCGAACUCGGAAUUUUUUAAUUGUGUAAAUUUGAUAUAAACGAAUUUCGUAAUUUCCUCGAGCCAACUGGAGUGAAUUGGUGUUAUGAAAAUAUAUCCCAGGAAAUAGCAGCCUGGAGAAAACGAAACAGACCUCGGAUUGCCCAUUUAAUAAACGGUGGUUUUUCAGUCGAGAAGACGCAACUGUUAUCUAAUUCCGGUGCUUUGAAUUAUGCACAGGCAGUUGCGGAUUUAUUUGAUUCUUGCGAGCAGCAAAGUGACACAAAAACGUCAACACAGGAGCAUCUAUUUGUGGAUACUAUUGCACUGAAUCAACAACACGAUACUCAAAAUACUCAACAACAAGUAACAGGAUUUGAUCGGGAACCAACUAUUCCGACGUCUAGCAGCCCGGUAUCAGCAAAAUAUAACUCUGAUUUGCAGUUGGUUGAUCUAAAAGUGAACCGGCAGGCAGAAACAUAUCACGAUUUUCUAGCUUGCAAAUGUGGAUUACGGUCACUUAGUGCAGACACAGAUAAUCAAUACUCAGGAGCCCUACAUGAAACACCCUCGGAGAAACUUCAAAAAUUACCCGAUGAAAAUGGGUCAAUUAUUCUACCCGUUUUUACUCCAGGCUUCCUAAGAAACUUACUCGAGAAGAACGAGACAGGGAAAGAUAUCCCGGAACGAACAAAGAUUGAAGAACUAUCAGAUACGAAACAAUUGCAGUUAGCUGGUAUAAUCGCUCGUCACCAUCUAAUAUGCAAGAAAAAACUUCGAACAAAAGAUUUGGAAGUCUAUAGUGUAGCUGUCACCACGUUGUUCAAGUAAAAAAAGGAAAAUUAUUACAUACCUCGAGGAGGAGACCGUAAAAACCAUGGUGGCAAAAUAGCAAGCAAAAUUAAUAGCAUGAAGUAAAGUAUGCGAAAAAAUGAUAUAAAAGAGAGCCAACAUGCGAAGAAAUUUAAAUAUUACAUUGAGUCUGAUGACUUGAGUCUCACCGAUGCAACAGAGUGAUUAAUCCUUAACGUACAACCUUGGUCAAUAGUUUUAGACAAGUGGGCACCCAGUUUCUGCAAUAGGAAAAAAUAUUUGCGGAAUGUUAGAUUAGUGUCGAAGUUGCUCAAAGAAUUUCCCCAUUAUACAAACGCUGGACCCAUCAGCGACCAAGCUGCUUGAGUACCUCCAAAGUUCUAAUGAAGAUACUAGAGUGUGCGCCUUAUUGUUAUUACUGAACACAAUAUUGCCACCGAUAUCCGCUGGAAAUACAUACAAACCAACUAUAUGUGUUGCGCAAGGUGAUACAAUUAUUUUUGCCAGCGAUGAAGAAGACGUUACAUCGGAAAUAGUCAGAGUGAACGCAGAG